UACGAAGGGGGCUAGCGUUGCUCGGAAUUACUGGGCUUAAAGGGUGCGUAGGCGGCGCGGAAAGUUGGGUGUGAAAUCCCUCGGCUCAACCGAGGAACUGCGCCCAAAACUACCGUGCUCGAGGGAGAUAGAGGAAUGCGGAACUUAGGGUGGAGCGGUGAAAUGCGUUGAUAUCCUAGGGAACACCGGUGGCGAAAGCGGCAUUCUGGAUCUCUUCUGACGCUGAUGCACGAAAGCUAGGGUAGCAAACGGG
rnacentral:rRNA from 1 species